GACGAACGCUGGCGGCGUGCUUAACACAUGCAAGUCGAACGAAAGGACGGGAAGAGCUUGCUCUUUCCGGAAUUGAGUGGCAAACGGGUGAGUAACACGUAAACAACCUGCCUUCAGGAUGGGGACAACAGACGGAAACGACUGCUAAUACCGAAUAAGUUCCAAGAGCCGCAUGGCCCAUGGAAGAAAAGGUGGCCUCUACCUGUAAGCUAUCGCCUGAAGAGGGGUUUGCGUCUGAUUAGCUGGUUGGAGGGGUAACGGGCCCACCCAAGGCGACGAUCAGUAGCCGGUCUGAGAGGAUGAACGGCCACACUGGAACUGAGACACGGUCCAGACUCCUACGGGAGGCAGCAGUGGGGAAUCUUCCGCAAUGGGCGAAAGCCUGACGGAGCAACGCCGCGUGAGUGA
rnacentral:rRNA from 1 species